AUAGAACCUAGAAUGGGCAUGCAUCAGUUGAAUCCCAUAAGGCCUUCUCAAGACCAUCGCCGACCUUCUAACUGCUGCCGGUCCUAUACCUCACAAAAAAUCCGAUGCGGUAACAUGGAAAGUUACUUUGAAACGACCAGUCGGUGCGCCCAGCCUGGUGUCAUUUUCAUCACCAAAAGGGGGAGGCAGGUCUGUGCCAACCCCAAUAAUGCGGAAGUUCAGGAUUGUAUAAUGAACCUGAAGCAGGACUCUGUGGAGAAUCUGAGCAGCAGUCAUUGGAUAUAAUGAGCAAAUUGUUGACUGAUAAGAAGGGAUACUAGGUCCCAGCCAUUUAUCUCUAGUCUCUCUUACCUCACCUCCUCAAAGCUUUUUGGCCUGAAUUAUUUUUUCAAAAGCAACAAUUACUGUUCUGUUCUGAUUAUAAAAGCUUUUAAUUAAUGCAUUCAUUAAACAUAUCCAAUUUAACUUGUGUUUAACUUUGAGAGGAAAAAGCAAUUCAGGAAUUGCUAAGCUUUAGAUUUGUGGUGGGGUUUUUUUUGUUUCUUGUUUUUUGUAUUUUUUCAAAAGAGACAUCAGAGUAUCAUUUUUAAGAAGUUAAAAACAAGACUUAUUCAGCCUUGGCUAGUGUUGCUCAAUGGUAGAAUGCAAGCCCUCAUACUGAAGUGUCCUUUAACUUCCAGUUGAGCAGGUAUCUGGGUUGCAGGUUUGAUCCUGACCCUCAUUGGGCACAUAUGGGAGGCAAUGAGUUAAUUCUCUCUCUCUCUCUCUCUCUCUCUCUCUCUCUCUCUCUCUCUCUCUCUCUCUCUCUCUCUCUCUCUCAUCUCUCAUCUCUCAUCUCUCAUCUCUCUUCCCUCCCCACCUUCUUUCUACUGUCAAUGUGAAAAAAUAGCAAGUAAGAAUUUGAAAAAUAAUAAAUAUGUAAAAAACAUGACUCAUUCAAAUUUGACUUUUUGUAUCUAUGUCAAAGAUGUACUUAACCUAUUAACAAGGGAAUGAUUAAACUGAUUCUUUUAUCAUUUGAAGGAAAAAGAUAUAUACAGUUAGUUGGGGGAGGCAUUCUGAAAUUUGGUUAACUUAGAGAAAAGUAAAGUAGUAUUUAAUAUCAGAAUAUAACUAACAUUUGCAAUUAUGUUUUCUAC